GGAGGAAUGCUAUUGAGCAAGUUGAGAUACGCGAUCACUGUGUUUCAGUGGGUCACAAAGACUUGAAAGGAGCGAGAACGACAUGCAUGUUCAGGUAGUCCCCAGGUAGCACAUAAGAUUUGCUGGAUCUUACAUGCCACGGCGACAUUUGUUUUUGCGUCUUUCUGUGGGAAUGAAAGCAGAGGCACGGCACUGAAUGUGUCACACAGGUGCGCAGCACAGACGGCUGCUAUAAAAAGGACGAUGGGGCAGGAAGAAAUGCAUCCGAACCACACAACUCCCCAUAUUUCACCAGUACCCAGCAAACCUGUAUUUCCUGGUUACUAUUCACUCAUCCCUUUGGUUGUGCUCAUACUGAUUGGAUGUAUAGUGGCAGUGGUUGUUUAUAUCAGAAGAAAAAUGAGAUUGGAUGAUUUGCGGCAUAGGUUGAUUCCUUUGUACAGCUACGACCCUGCAGAGGAACAGGAAGACUGGGGUGAUGCUGGCAGGGAGGAUGAGGAUGCGGAGCUCAAUGAACCUUUGUACAAGAAGGCACAGCUCACCAUUUCCUCUGGCUACGCAACAUGAUCACAAAUUUCAGAAGAAACUCAUUUAGGCAAAUAAAUCUUUAUUUGCUGUACAUGCUGCACAGCAGCAGCUUGUUGCCUGGAUUCAAAGUGUAUAUAGAGGUUGUGGUUGAAACGUGACUUAAAGCAAACACCAGAUGGCAAUGUAACACUGCCUUUUUUCUUUCUUUUUACCUCAGCUGAAAUUAUUUUUUUUAAUAGGCUGCACAGAGUUUUAUUUUAAAGGACAAAGCAAAUGUUCUUCCUGUGCAAUAAACUGGAAGUUUAAAGUUUGAAAGGUGUUUGUGUGAAUUCGUGUGUUUCUUCUUUCACAUGUGUGCGCAAUGACAUUAAAGGCACACCUGUUUCUGAUUAGCAAUCAGAAGCUGGCGUUUUAAGGUUGCUUGAGUGGACACGUUCUCAUGUUUGGUGGGAUUUUACAGAAAAAGAUGGGAUCGCAAAGAAAGACCAGUCCAUGCUGCUUCUUGAUCUCCAUCCUGCUGGUCUCAGCUGCGAUCCUCCCAGCACUGGCUCUAGAUAGCCUGCUGUGCUACUACUGUCCUCUGCAGCAGAAAAGCAAGCCCUGCCCCCAA